GGGGGAAUAGCUCAGUGGUAGAGUACGUGCUUAGCUGCACAAGGUCCUGGGUUCAAUCCCUUGUACCUCCA
rnacentral:tRNA from 1 species